GACGAACGCUGGCGGCGUGCCUAAUACAUGCCAGUAGAACGCACAGUUUAUACCGUAGCUUGCUACACCAUAGACUGUGAGUUGCGAACGGGUGAGUAACGCGUAGGUAACCUGCCUGGUAGCGGGGGAUAACUAUUGGAAACGAUAGCUAAUACCGCAUAAUAUUAAUUAUUGCAUGAUAAUUAAUUGAAAGGUGCAAUUGCACCACUACCAGAUGGACCUGCGUUGUAUUAGCUAGUAGGUGAGGUAACGGCUCACCUAGGCGACGAUACAUAGCCGACCUGAGAGGGUGAUCGGCCACACUGGGACUGAGACACGGCCCAGACUCCUACGGGAGGCAGCAGUAGGGAAUCUUCGGCAAUGGACGAAAGUCUGACCGAGCAACGCCGCGUGAGUGAAGAAGGUUUUCGGAUCGUAAAGCUCUGUUGUAAGAGAAGAACGGGGGUGAGAGUGGAAAGUUCACACUGUGACGGUAUCUUACCAGAAAGGGACGGCUAACUACGUG
rnacentral:rRNA from 1 species